CCAAGAUAUUCUGGACGUUGCGGAUCGUCAGGAUGCAGAUACGCGUCGUACCUCCAACGGACGCGUACAAGACACCAUUAACGUUAAUUUGCGCGCCUGAAAUAAAACAAGAUGCUUUGCACGUUUUGAAGUGAUGUACGGAGUUUAAGAGCAAUGAAGUUACCUAUUUAUCUGGACUACUC
rnacentral:sRNA from 1 species